UAUUCCCCACUGCUGCCUCCCGUAGGAGUCUGGGCCGUGUCUCAGUCCCAGUGUGGCUGGCCAUCCUCUCAGACCAGCUACUGAUCGUCGCCUUGGUGAGCCAUUACCUCACCAACUAGCUAAUCAGACGCGGGCCGCUCCAAAGGCGAUAAAUCUUUCCCCCGAAGGGCUCAUCCGGUAUUAGCACAAGUUUCCCUGUGUUGUUCCGAACCUAAGGGUACAUUCCCACGUGUUACUCACCCGUCCGCCACUAUCCCGAAGGACCGUUCGACUUGCAUGUGUUAAGCCUGCCGCCAGCGUUCAUCCUGAGCCAA
rnacentral:rRNA from 1 species